rfam:Salmo salar isolate Sally breed double haploid chromosome ssa12, whole genome shotgun sequence.
UGGCUCAGUUGGUAGAGCAUGGUGUGUGCAACACCAGGGUUGUGGGUUAGAUUCCCAC